rnacentral:rRNA from 1 species
AGUGAACGCUGGCGGUAGGCCUAACACAUGCAAGUCGAACGGCAGCACAGUAAGAGCUUGCUCUUACGGGUGGCGAGUGGCGGACGGGUGAGGAAUACAUCGGAAUCUACUUUUUCGUGGGGGAUAACGUAGGGAAACUUACGCUAAUACCGCAUACGACCUACGGGUGAAAGAAGGGGAUCUUCGGACCUUGCGCGAUUGAAUGAGCCGAUGUCGGAUUAGCUAGUUGGCGGGGUAAAGGCCCACCAAGGCGACGAUCCGUAGCUGGUCUGAGAGGAUGAUCAGCCACACUGGAACUGAGACACGGUCCAGACUCCUAAGGGAGGCAGCAGUGGGGAAUAUUGGACAAUGGGCGCAAGCCUGAUCCAGCCAUACCGCGUGGGUGAAGAAGGCCUUCGGGUUGUAAAGCCCUUUUGUUGGGAAAGAAAAGCAGCAGGUUAAUACCCCGCUGUUCUGACGGUACCCAAAGAAUAAGCACCGGCUAACUUCGUG